CUCCCGAGUCCGGGCGUGGCUUCCCUGGGCGAUUCUGCGUCCGUCUCCAUCUCGCGACGACUGGCGCCGCCACCUCCGCCCCCCGAGUCGAUGCGGCGCCCCACCUGCGCCUACGCCUCCUGAGCCGCCCCACCCCUCCGUCCUCCCCCAUCCGGGCCGCGCCGCCCUCCAUCUCCUCCACGGCAUCUGCCUCGCCGUCCAGCUUCUGUCGUCUGCCUCGCCGUCCAGCCGCGCGUCGUCACCGCCCCUCGCCAGCCGCAGCGUCAUCACCGCCCCUCGUCCAACUUUCCUCGAAGGCGUAUCGUGAAGAACUUAGGCCGGCAACAAGCAACUGACAUUGCUCGAGUCUAUCUUCAGCUGAAGAAGAGCAAGUGAAUUAGAGGAGCCACUGAUUGCACUACUUGGUACGUACAUACGCCGUGCAGCCACGCAUCGUCACCGCCCCUCGCCAGCCACAGCGUCGUCACCGCCCCUUGUCCAAGUGAAUUAGAGGAGUGAUAAUUCAGUUAGCCAGCACAUUGAUUUGACGAUGUCCGAUCUGCAUUGCUGCUGACAUCUUCAGGGUGUAAAAGUUUUGAGCUGGAGUCAAAUUCUGUAUUGUCGUUUAACUUGAUGCUUAUAAGUUGGAAGUGGUGCACCACCGUGCAAUCUAUUGUGCUAAACCUCAAGAUAUGAUGCCGCUCGGUUGGAUGCAAGUGCCAUUUAGCAGCAAAAAAGACAUUUUGAAUCUCACGACUUGAGGUUGGCAUUUGUACUGAAGACAUGGGGUUGGCAUUUGUAUUUAUAAAUUUGAACGUAUGGAUGAUCAUGCAAUGCAUUGUCAUGCAUAUCCAUUUUGUUAAUUAUUAAUGAUUUUUCCUUAA